UUGGCCGAAUGGCACGCGGCUGAAAGCACACUCCUGAUUGGCUCUGGUUACUGUUACCUAGUGUCCACCUGAACCUUCCAAAAUAAUCAAGUGCAAACUACAACAGUAUCUUACAGGCAGUCGUUAUCAUGAUGAUGUAAUUACCGAGUAACUCCGACAUUGAAUUCUGGAUGACAGUCCUUAUGUACCUGCUAAUAUAAUCCAUGUCUUCUGUUGAAUUUAUAUUUGGAUGAUCCCGGUCGUUUAGAAUACGUUUACAGCAUAAAAUAUGCUGCUUAAGUUAAAUUGUAAUUCCAGCAUGUUUAUUGCGUUGAUAUUGCAGUGAUGAACUAUUAUACACGCUAUCAUUUUCUCCGUAUUUCUUUCAAACAAUUGCCAGUGAAUGCAAAUCAAUAUUCUCAACAAAAUUCUAUUUGAGGCAAUUUUACGACAAAAACGUAAUAAACCGAUC